rnacentral:sRNA from 1 species
CCGACGCUUUUCUCAAAAGCGUUCAGCAGAGGGAUGUUGCAGCUUUUGUCCUUAUCAUCUGGGACAUGUUAACAUCCUGCUUCUCUCUGUGAUACCAGCAGGAAGAUAGUCAUAAGCUCGGUGUGCGAGUAAGGGUUUUCCACGGCCUUGGCUCACUAGAUGUUGCUGGGUUAUAGUUAUCCUACAUUGGCAGUAUAUAAACCUGGUGUUGCUAGAAGAGAGCUAGACAACUACCUUUAUGCCAUCUCGCCAACUUUACCCAUGACUAUUAUCAGUUUACUUACCUCUGUGGGUAUCCGCAGCAUGCCCCGAAAGGAAGCACUAAUAGCCUAGAUGAGGCAACAUGGGCCGACUCUCUGCUGAACAAAUACCAUGCACUGUGCACAGCUGCACCAAAUGAUCAAGUUUUAAAAUGAGUAUCCUAUACUCAUAUAUAUGUAUUGACCGAGCACGGCAACUUAACAUGUUCUACCUCCUUUUCAGUUGCGACGGUAGCCCUUGUUGUCAAUGCGAAUGGUUCGUAUGACACCGUCUGCAGGUUUUAAACGGCAC